UAGCAAAGUUGGCAGAGCGAUUAUCUUGUUUCUUUCUGAUAUAACUUCCUAUUUUAAAUCGAACAUGAGCUAAAAAGAAAUACAACUGAAAUGGCAAGUCGUCCCCGAUUGUUGGUUGGGGCAAUAGACUUUGGAACAGCGUUUUCUGGUUGGGCUUUCUCUUUCAAGCACGAGUAUGAACAAGAUCCUACAAAGGCCACUGUUAAAGUUUGGAAUGCAGGAACACUUACCACAGAGAAGACGCCAACGUGUAUAUUAUUGCAACCAGAUGGAACCUUUGAUUCUUUUGGUUACGAUGCAGAAAAUAGAUACAGGGAGCUUGCAGAUAAAAAUCUUCACACGUAAUACUAUUUCUUUAGGCACUUUAAAAUGUCACUCUUCAAAAAUCUUGGAAAGGAAAUAAAAAGAGGGAUGAAAAUAAGUGAUGAAAUGGGCAAACAGUUUCCAGCCAGGGAUGUAUUUGCAAUGUCUAUUAAAUACCUUGUUGAUGAUAUGAUGUUGAUUGUUGGGCAACGACUUGUCGGAGAGUUAAGGUCUCAUGAAAUUCGCUGGGUUUUGACAGUUCCAGCAAUAUGGUCGGACGCUGCAAAGCAGUUUAUGAGAGAA
rnacentral:lncRNA from 1 species